rnacentral:rRNA from 1 species
GUGCCAGCAGCCGCGGUAAUACGGAAGGUCCUGGCGUUAUCCGGAUUCAUUGGGUUUAAAGGGAGCGUAGGCGGCUUUUAAGCGUGCCGUGAAAUGCCGGGGCUCAACCUUGGCACUGCGGCGCGAACUGGGGGCCUUGAGUGCGCCGGAAGCGGGCGGAAUUCGUGGUGUAGCGGUGAAAUGCUUAGAUAUCACGAGGAACCCCGAUUGCGAAGGCAGCUCGCUGUAGCUUACUGACGCUGAAGCUCGAAGGCGCGGGUAUCGAACAGGAUUAGAUACCCUGGUAGUCCGCGCGGUAAACGAUGGAUGCCCGCUGUUGGCCUGUUUAUUGGUCAGCGGCCAAGCGAAAGCGUUAAGCAUCCCACCUGGGGAGUACGCCGGCAACGGUGAAACUCAAAGGAAUUGACGGGGGCCCGCACAAGCGGAGGAACAUGUGGUUUAAUUCGAUGAUACGCGAGGAACCUUACCCGGGCUUGAACUGCAGGGGAACGAUCCAGAGAUGGUGAGGCCAGCAAUGGUCCCUGUGGAGGUGCUGCAUGGUUGUCGUCAGCUCGUGCCGUGAGGUGUCGGCUUAAGUGCCAUAACGAGCGCAACCCCUCUCCCGAGUUGCCAUCGGGUUAUGCUGGGCACUCUCGGGAUACUGCCUCCGUAAGGAGUGAGGAAGGUGGGGACGACGUCAAAUCAGCACGGCCCUUACGUCCGGGGCUACACACGUGUUACAAUGGCGCGUACAGAGGCCGGCGGCCGGCAACGUCCGUCCAAUCCUUAAAACGCGUCUCAGUUCGGACAGGGGUCUGCAACCCGACCCCUCGAAGCUGGAUUCGCUAGUAAUCGCGCAUCAGCCAUGGCGCGGUGAAUACGUUCCCGGGCCUUGUACACACCGCCCGU